UUUUCACUUAUCGGGAACAAAAUGUAUGCCUGUUUACAGCAAUGGUACUCAGAAAGUUAUUGUCAUACUAUAUAACAUACUGGUUACUUAGAUCCAAAAGACAGUAAACCUGGGAACUCUGAAAUCUCCUCCAAGAGGAUGCAGAUGUGAGAAAAAGGAAUUCAACAGAGGAAAAAUAUUGUUUAAAAAUGGAUUGUCAUGAGAAUAAGAAGAUAUUGAAAAGUGUGCCACAUGCAAGACAAUGUUGUUAGAAUAUAGCCUUUACAGAGUGACAAACUGGAGAAAUUUCCCAUAGACAAUUCUGACAAUACUCAGCAAAAGAAUGCAGUUACUUUAAGUCAUAAAAGAAUAAAAAUU